rnacentral:tRNA from 1 species
GCGGGUGUAGCUCAGUUGUUUAGAGCGCAUCCUUGCCAAGGAUGAGGCCCCGGGUUAGAGUCCCGGUACCCGCACCA